GGAGGGACCAGCGUCAUCACAGGCACUUAGCACAGCUUGGACCAGACAAGCUCCACACAGGCCGCAGAAAAGCGAAGGCAUCCCAUGUUCACUAGAGGGCAGCAGAGGACUGGCAGGAAGACCGCGGGAUCGCUCACAGCCGGCGCAGGACAGACCUGGAGCCACGGUCCCCACCAGAGAGCUCCUCCCCAAACCUGCUUAAGAUGGGCCGGCCUGACUCCUGGCUGACCGAGAUGACGUCACCCUAUGUCCUCGGAGGGACUAAUAGAGCUCUUUUCUGAAACCACGCGGCAAGCUGGCCUCUUCGGAAAGUCCCACUGGCCUUUCCUCAAUGAGGACAAAUGAGUGCCUCCCAAUCAGCUGCCGGGGAAGGGCAGCUGGAACCCUUCCGGGCUCUUUCAUUGGGCGAGGUCCUGAUGGACACUUCUCCCCCUGGAAGAAUCCUUGCGGGAAGGAGCCGGCAGAGCUGACGUCAGCGCGUUCAUGAGUCUGUCACCGGAAUCCAGAUAUGCAUGCAGUUCCUCUCCUAAAUGGAAAGACUAUGUUCCGGAGAGGGUGCGCUCUGGCCCAAGAUCACAGAAAACCCCAGGAGCUCCUCCCUCUUCCCC